rnacentral:ncRNA from 2 species
GCUCUGCAUCACGAGUUGGGAAACCAUGCCAACCUGCCUAUUGCCGGCAAGGUGGAAUGCGCGUGCAGAUGCGGCUGUUGAUUUUUCGACGGUAAAUAUCGGCAUCACA